UACGGAGGGGGCUAGCGUUGUUCGGAAUUACUGGGCGUAAAGCGCACGUAGGCGGCUUUGUAAGUUAGAGGUGAAAGCCCAGGGCUUAACCCUGGAAUUGCCUUUAAGACUGCAUCGCUAGAAUCGUGGAGAGGUGAGUGGAAUUCCGAGUGUAGAGGUGAAAUGCGUAGAGAUGUGGAGGAAUACCGAUGGCGAAGGCAGCCUCCUGGGCCAACACUGACGCUCAUGCACGAAAGCGUGGGGAGCAAACAGG
rnacentral:rRNA from 1 species